GCCUACGGGACGCAGCAGUGGGGAAUAUUGCACAAUGGGGGAAACCCUGAUGCAGCAACGCCGCGUGAGUGAAGAAGGUUUUCGGAUUGUAAAGCUCUGUUAGCAGGGAAGAGGAAGGACGGUACCUGCAGAGGAAGCCACGGCUAACUACGUGCCAGCAGCCGCGGUAAUACGUAGGUGGCAAGCGUUGUUCGGAAUAACUGGGUGUAAAGGGAGCGUAGGCGGGAAGCCAAGUCAGCUGUGAAAACUACGGGCUUAACCUGUAGACUGCAGUUGAAACUGGCUUUCUUGAGUGAAGU
rnacentral:rRNA from 1 species